AUUGAACGCUGGCGGCAUGCUUUACACAUGCAAGUCGAACGGUAACAGGGUGCUUGCACCGCUGACGAGUGGCGAACGGGUGAGUAAUGCGUCGGAACGUGCCGAGUAGUGGGGGAUAACGCAGCGAAAGUUGUGCUAAUACCGCAUACGUACUGGGGUAGAAAGUGGGGGACCUUCGGGCCUCACGCUAUUCGAGCGGCCGACGUCUGAUUAGCUUGUAGGUGAGGUAAAGGCUCACCUAGGCGACGAUCAGUAGCGGGUCUGAGAGGAUGAUCCGCCACACUGGGACUGAGACACGGCCCAGACUCCUACGGGAGGCAGCAGUGGGGAAUUUUGGACAAUGGGCGAAAGCCUGAUCCAGCCAUGCCGCGUGUCUGAAGAAGGCCUUCGGGUUGAAAGGACUUUUGUCAGGGAGGAAAUCCCUAGUGCUAAUAACACUGGGGGAUGACAGUACCUGAAGAAUAAGCACCGGCUAACUACGUGCCAGCCGCCGCGGUAA
rnacentral:rRNA from 1 species